GGAUCUUCUUGCAGGGCCGUAUAUACAAAGGUAAAGAGCCUCCCCAAUUUGUUGCCCUUUUUCAACCUACGGUGGUCCUAAAGGGUGGUUUGAGCUCUAGGUACAGAAACAGUGUGGGAGAGACAAGGUCGACAGACGAAACUUACACGCCAGAAUCAAUUGCACUUAUUCAAGUAUCUAGAACUGGAGUUCACAUAAUAAUGGUGGCAACAUUUUUAAACUCUUAUGAAUGCUCCUUCUGCAGUCUGGUACUUCCAUGUUCCUAUGGCAUGGAAAUCAAAGUGUGCAUGAACAGCUGAAACUGGCUGCUAAAGUUGCUGAGUUCUUGAAGUGAGAGGAUUUGUGGGAGACUAUGUGAUUCUUUGAUGGCAUUUUGGUGACUUCUAGUGCACAACAGGAUUAACUGAACGAGAAACAUGGGGGAAAUUAUCAUGCAUUUGGGAAGAUGCUGGAUGUAUGGGACAUUCAGCCUCUUUGCAAGCAGGUAUAUAUUGGUAUUCUAUUAUUUUUUAUAACUUUUAUACAUGCUAUGACUCGUGAUCAUAAAUCUGAUAUGUUUCUCAAAUCAUGACAUGACAUCUUCUGUGGCAGUGGUCUGUGAUCUUAUCUUAAGUGCAUGUUUUUUUCCUCUGCUUUCAAUAAUAUUAUAGUGUUGGUGCUUGCGUUAUAUUAUAGUGUUGUUACUUGCGUUUUAAUUGUUGUAGUACUAGUAUUAGUUGUGGUAGCUUGCGUUUUGAUUGAUCAUAAAUCUGAUAUACAUGCCAUGAUCGUGAUUAUAAAUCUGAUGUUUCUCAAAUCAUAAUAUCUUCUGUGGCAGUGGUCUGUGAUCUCAUCUUAAGUACCUGUUUUUUUUCCUCCGCUUUCAAUAAUAUCAUCGUGUUGUUGCUGCGUUUUGAUUGAUCAUAGUGUAUCAUUAUGUUGUUACUUGCGUUUUAACUAUUGUAGUACUAGAUUAGUUGUGGUUGCUUGCGUUUUGAUUGAUCAUAAAAAUCUGAUAUACAUGUCAUGAUCACGAUCAUAAAUCUGAUAUGUUUCUCAAAUCAUGACAUCUUCUGUGGCAGUGGUCUGUGAUCUUAUCUUAAGUACAUGUUUUUUCCCUUCCUCCCCUUUUCAAUAAAUAUCAUAGUGUUGUUCUCACGUUUUUAUUGAUCAUAGUGUAUCAUUGUGUUGCUACUUGCGUUUUAAUUAUUGUAGUACUAGAACUAGUUGUGAUUGCUUGCGUUUUGAUUGAUUAUAAAUCUAAUAUGUUUCUCAAAUCAUGUCAUCUUCUGUGGCAGUGGUAUGUGAUUUCAUCUUUAAGUACAUGUUUUUUGUUUCCUCCGUUUUCAAUAGUAUCAUCGUGUUGGUGCUUCCGUUUUGAUUGAUCAUAGUGUAUCUUGUUAGUUGCAUUUUAAUUGCUGUAGUACUAUAAUUAGUUGUGGUUGCUUGGUUUUUGAUUGAUAUAGUGUUGUUGCUUGCAUUUUUGAUUGAUCAUAAUGCAAACAUUUUGUGGAAAUUUUCAACAUUA